GGUUAAGCGACUAAGCGUACACGGUGGAUGCCCUGGCAGUCAGAGGCGAUGAAGGACGUGCUAAUCUGCGAUAAGCGUCGGUAAGGUGAUAUGAACCGUUAUAACCGGCGAUUUCCGAAUGGGGAAACCCAGUGUGAUUCGUCACACUAUCAUUAACUGAAUCCAUAGGUUAAUGAGGCGAACCGGGGGAACUGAAACAUCUAAGUACCCCGAGGAAAAGAAAUCAACCGAGAUUCCCCCAGUAGCGGCGAGCGAACGGGGAGGAGCCCAGAGCCUGAAUCAGUGUGUGUGUUAGUGGAAGCGUCUGGAAAGGCGCGCGAUACAGGGUGACAGCCCCGUACACAAAAAUGCACAUGCUGUGAGCUCGAUGAGUAGGGCGGGACACGUGGUAUCCUGUCUGAAUAUGGGGGGACCAUCCUCCAAGGCUAAAUACUCCUGACUGACCGAUAGUGAACCAGUACCGUGAGGGAAAGGCGAAAAGAACCCCGGCGAGGGGAGUGAAAAAGAACCUGAAACCGUGUACGUACAAGCAGUGGGAGCACAGAGCAAUCUGUGUGACUGCGUACCUUUUGUAUAAUGGGUCAGCGACUUAUAUUCUGUAGCAAGGUUAACCGAAUAGGGGAGCCGAAGGGAAACCGAGUCUUAACUGGGCGUUAAGUUGCAGGGUAUAGACCCGAAACCCGGUGAUCUAGCCAUGGGCAGGUUGAAGGUUGGGUAACACUAACUGGAGGACCGAACCGACUAAUGUUGAAAAAUUAGCGGAUGACUUGUGGCUGGGGGUGAAAGGCCAAUCAAACCGGGAGAUAGCUGGUUCUCCCCGAAAGCU
rnacentral:rRNA from 1 species